AUUCGGACUGCAGCAAUGUUCAGCUCCUGAAUGUUGCAGUGGAAAGUUUAGUGAACCUUAUCACUUAGAGGAAGGAGAAGUCGUAACAAGGUUUCCGUAGGUGAACCUGCGGAAGGAUCAUUCGCACGCAUCCAAUUAAUACCAUUGUGAAUUUUUGGCGUGAGGUUUUGUUUGGGGAUGGAGAUUGCAUCAAUGCCCCCAUGCAAAAGCUCAAAGGCGGCAGGGUUGGAUGGGUGCUUGUCACCUCCUUUCAGCUCUUGUCGUCACCUUCCUUUUGCUUGUAAUCUUUGCUACUUCUUUACCAGUUGAAGUGGUUGUCCACUUUCUUCUUACAACUUUCAGCGAUCGAUGUCUCGGCUCGAACAACGAUGAAGGGCGCAGCGAAGUGUGAUAAGCAUUGUGAAUUGCAGGAUUCCGUGAACCAAUAGGGACUUGAACGUACACUGCGCUUUCGGGAUAUCCCUGAAAGCAUGCCUGCUUCAGUGUCCACUUUAUUUCUUCCAGCAGCAUCUUCCACAUUUGUGGUACUGUUGCUUGGGUGUGCUUGUGUGUCAAAGUGCUUUGCUGCCUUUGACGCGUUCAAUGCAUGGGGAUUUCCUCUUGGCGCGCAACUUGCUAAACGUCGCUGACGCAACUUGUUGUUGUGCUUUGGGGCAACCUCCUUGAUUCAUAUGUUUCAUACAUGUGAAGACAUGAAGUUAGGUCAGCAAACCCGCUGAAUUUAAGCAUAUAAGUAAGCGGAGGAAAAGAAACUAAAUAGGAUUCCCUCAGUAAUGGCGAAUGAACAGGGAUGAGCUCAGUAUGGAAAUUGGGGCCUGUGGCCUUGAAUUGUAGUCUGGAGAUGUACCACCAACUGGGGCGCAGAUGUAAGCCUCUUGGAAAAGAGCAUCAAUGAGGGUGAGAGUCCCGCUUGGCAUCUGCAGUCCCCAGUGCACGGUGUACCUUCUAAGAGUCACGUUCCUCGGGAUUGGAGCGCAAAU
rnacentral:rRNA from 1 species